rnacentral:rRNA from 1 species
GACGAACGCUGGCGGCGUGCCUAAUACAUGCAAGUAGAACGCUGAAGGAGGAGCUUGCUUCUCUGGAUGAGUUGCGAACGGGUGAGUAACGCGUAGGUAACCUGCCUGGUAGCGGGGGAUAACUAUUGGAAACGAUAGCUAAUACCGCAUAAGAGUAGAUGUUGCAUGACAUUUGCUUAAAAGGUGCAAUUGCAUCACUACCAGAUGGACCUGCGUUGUAUUAGCUAGUUGGUGGGGUAACGGCUCACCAAGGCGACGAUACAUAGCCGACCUGAGAGGGUGAUCGGCCACACUGGGAAUGAGACAAGGCCCAGACUCCUACGGGAGGCAGCAGUAGGGAAUCUUCGGCAAUGGACGGAAGUCUGACCGAGCAACGCCGCGGGAGUGCAGAAGGUUUUCGGAUCGUAAAGCUCUGUUGUAAGAGAAGAACGAGUGUGAGAGUGGAAAGUUCACACUGUGACGGUAUCUUACCAGAAAGGGACGGCUAACUACGUG